CAACCACGGCAGUAGUGGAUCAAGGGUUGAACUUGAUGAUCUCGGAGAUCCCUUCCAACCCAUAGACUGAUUCUAUGAUUGGGUCAGAGACAAGUGCGUGUGAGCCAGCAGAGUGCCCAGGUGUCCAAGAAGGCAGUGGCAUCCUGGCCUGUGUCAGAAAUAAUGUGGCCAACAGGACCAGGGCAGUGAUCAGCCCCCUCAGUGACCCACUUAAUGGAUGAAGGAAAAGCUUGGAUGUGUCUACCUGGACUUCAGUAAGGCCUUUGACACAGUUUCCCACAUCAUUCUGGAGAAACUGGCUGCUCAAGGUUUGGCCAGGUGUGCUUUUCACUGAGUAGAAAACUCUCUGGAUGGCAAGGCCCAGAGUGUUCGUGAGUGGAGUUGCAUCCAGCUGGUGGCCCGUCACUGGUGCUGUUCCCCAGGGCUCAGAAUUGGGGCCGGUUCUGUUUAAUACUAAUCUUUAUCAAUUAUGUGAAUGAGGAGAUCAAGGGCACCUUCAGUCAGCCUUAGACAUACCAAGUUGUAUGGGAGUGUUGAUCUACUGGAGGCUGGAAAGACUGCAAAAGCAUCUGGACAGGCUGAAUCAAUGGGCUGAGGGCAAUGAUAUGAGGUUCAACAAGGCAAAGUGCCUGGCCCUGCACUUAGGUCAUGACAACCCCAUGCAGUGCUCCAGGUUCGGGGAUGAGUGGCUGGAAAGCACUCUGGAGGAAGAGGACCUGGAGGUGUUGGUUGACAGCAGCCGAACAUGAGCCAGCAGAGUGCCCAGAGAUGAUCCUUGUGGGGAAGGAAAGGACUUCUGUCUUCAUCACUUCAAGGAUUAUUGGGCGUUGGGGCCACCUCCUUCUCCGUUUUCAUCCUGUGAUGCAGGACUGUCUCCAUCUUCCCAACCUCUUUUUGUGUGUGCUGUGUCAGGAAACCUGCAUCUCCUUUGAGCCUGCACUUGGCACAGCUUUGUGUCAUAUCCCUUUUCUGGAAAAAGUGGGUAACAGGAGGCUCUUUUUGAACUCAGGUUUCACGAAAAUAAAUGUGAAUUAGAAUUAGUGAUUCCGAACAUAAACAAUUUUGUGAAUACAGUAACAACAUCUUGGCAAAUGAAAUUUGUGGUGAUAAAACAGGCAGACUGGCUCAUUUCAGAACCAAGGUACAUUAUGAUGCGAUACUUUCCCUCAGUCAUGUGUUCCACUUGGAAGCUCUGUAUCUGAAAUAACUGCUCCAGUGCUUCAGAAUACUUCAUUUAAAAGUCAUUGACAAUUUCAACAUGAACUGAAGUUUAAAAAUAAACAUACUUAUUCUUCACUUUUUUGUACCUACUAAAGUUUAAGUGGUUUGCAAUUACAGAACUUACAAAAUACAGUGAAUUUGAAGGUGAGUUCUCCAAAUGAUCUUUAACAAUUAUAAUUCCUUUUGAAGUCAUACAAGUCUUAACUGUUGCUUAAACAAAACUAUAUUCUGUAUGUGUACUGACUUUGUGAACCACAAAUGUGGCUUAAUUAACAUGUGAUGAUUCUUGAUAUAUUACAUGCCACUUGGAGAGACAAAAAAUACUCAUUCUGAUGUGCAAAUGUGUUUGUGCCUUUACCAUAUAUUAGUUUUCAUUUUAAAAUAAUAUAAAAUACUACAAUGGAUAUAUAUAAAUUUCCAUUAAGCUGGUUUCAGUAUUCACAAAAAAGAUCAGUCAUUUCUAAUAGGGAGUGUAUUAAUUUUCCUCAAGCCUCACAUCAUGAUAAACUGUAGAAACUUUGUACCAGUGGUAAUUAAUGUCAGUCUGGAAUAGCAAGUUUUAAAACAACACUGGGAAAAAAUCCAUUGUGACUUGUUGAAGAAAAUAUUUCUGUGGAGUAGCCCCUCAAUACCCAAAGUUAUCAUAUACUGAAGUACUGUUUCUGGAAUAUUUUUCAGAACAGUGUAUCAGUGAUCUGAAUUCUGUUUACAGAUUUCUGUGAAGAAGUUUUACUUAAAAGCAAAGUAAUAGAAUGAGUUUCUGCUUAGAAUUGAAAGUAAACAGAACUUUGUAACCAAUGAACAAUUAAUACCAUAGGAAAAAAAGGAAAGCUGUGAUAUCUAAUGAAGAUAUUACUUUCUCUUUUUACAACCUACAGUGGAUGAAGAGCUACUGUUUUAAAGAUUACGUUGGUAAUGAUUUAGAAGAGUCAGAAUAAACUGAAGAGUAUACCUACAUUAUUAGGAACUUUAUGAUGUACAGUAUUAAUAUGCAUUACUUACUAUUUUAGGGUAAUAAACUGGCUAAAAAAAAAAGCCCACAUUAUUUUUGUUUCUUUGUUUAGCAGUAUGGUAUAUUUUCAGAGUUAAAUCAAUAGAGAGGUUUGCACAGCAGGGCUUUUGCCAUACGUCAGCAGAAGUGGAAAAGGCAAUACAUGGUAAUAAAGGGGUGAACUUCUGUCUU